rnacentral:rRNA from 1 species
AGAGUUUGAUCAUGGCUCAGAUUGAACGCUGGCGGCGUGCUUAACACAUGCAAGUCGAUCGGUAACAGGUGUAGCAAUACAUGCUGACGAGAGGCGGACGGGUGAGGAAUAUUUGGGAAUCUGCCCAUCAGCGGGGGACAACCCGGGGAAACCCGGGCUAAUACCGCAUACGCUCUAAGGAGGAAAGCCGGGGACCGCAAGGCCUGGCACUGAUGGAUGAGCCCAAAUCGGAUUAGCUUGUUGGCGGGGUAACGGCCCACCAAGGCGACGAUCCGUAGCUGGUCUGAGAGGACGAUCAGCCACACCGGAACUGAGACACGGUCCGGACUCCUACGGGAGGCAGCAGUGGGGAAUAUUGGACAAUGGGGGAAACCCUGAUCCAGCGACGCCGCGUGGGUGAAGAAGGCCUGCGGGUUGUAAAGCCCUUUCGGUAGGGACGAAAGCUCUUGCUCUAACAAAGCAGGAGGUUGACUUAACCUACAUAAGAAGCACCGGCUAACUCUGUGCCAGCAGCCGCGGUAAUACAGAGGGUGCGAGCGUUAAUCGGAAUUACUGGGCGUAAAGCGCACGUAGUCGGCUUGUCAAGUCGGGUGUGAAAUCCCCGGGCUCAACCUGGGAACUGCAUCCGAAACUGACUUGCUAGAGUAUGGGAGAGGGAGGCGGAAUUUCUGGUGUAGCAGUGAAAUGCGUAAAUAUCAA